UGCGGAGGGGGCUAGCGUUGUUCGGAAUUACUGGGCGUAAAGCGCACGUAGGCGGCUUUGUAAGUUAGAGGUGAAAGCCCGGGGCUCAACUCCGGAAUUGCCUUUAAGACUGCAUCGCUAGAAUUGUGGAGAGGUGAGUGGAAUUCCGAGUGUAGAGGUGAAAUUCGUAGAUAUUCGCAGGAACACCAGUGGCGAAGGCGGCUCACUGGCCCGAUACUGACGCUGAGGCACGAAAGCGUGGGGAGCAAACAGG
rnacentral:rRNA from 1 species